GGACUCUCAACCACUGCACCACCAGGGAAGCCCUCUUUGCGGUUUUAAUCUGCAUUUCCCUGAUGACUGAUGAGUGCCUCCUGACUCUUGUUAUAUGAUGGUACCCUGAGAAAAUGAUAUUUGAUUUGCACGCUGAGCUGAACAACUGAGGCUGCAGCCCAGCUGCCCCAGGAGCUGAGGAGUCAAUACCCGGUGGGAAACGGGUGCAGCAUUUUGUCCCUGGAAGACUGGAGCGUUUGCAUGAGUUCCUAGCACCAACGAGACACUGGAAACCAAUGAGAUGGCUGGCAAGAUGGAGUCUGUUAAA